rnacentral:misc_RNA from 1 species
GAUGAAGAACGUAGCGAAAUGCGAUAAGUAGUGUGAAUUGCAGAAUUCAGUGAAUCAUCGAAUCUUUGAACGCACAUUGCGCCCCUUGGUAUUCCAUGGGGCAUGCCUGUUCGAGCGUCAUUUGUACCUUCAAGCUCUGCUUGGUGUUGGGUGUUUGUCUCGCCUUUGCGUGUAGACUCGCCUUAAAACAAUUGGCAGCCGGCGUAUUGAUUUCGGAGCGCAGUACAUCUCGCGCUUUGCACUCAUAACGACGACGUCCAAAAAGUACUUUUUACACUCUUGACCUCGGAUCAGGUAGGGAUACCCGCUGAACUUAAGCAUAUCAAUAAGCGGAGGA